UUUUUUUUUUUUUUUUUUUAAGUACUUCCCCUCCAUUUUGGUUUCAAAUAUUAUUUGGGGUAAACAGGAGAGAUAAGAAGAGGGUAUUUUUGAAAGUGAUUUUGCUUCUGACAUCAUGUGUAAAUGAAUAAAAUCUGGGGAAAGGGUGAAGGAGUACAUCUGGAGGUUAAAAAAGGAACACUAGGUAGAUUCAAGACUUUUGUUCCAUUAGUUUGUGUUGCUGGGGUUGAUGUACAUAGGGAGAAAUGGUAUUUUUCUCUGGGAGAAUUGGGUAUAAGUUUGUAAUUGUGGAGAUGGUUGGGGUGAAGUUUUUGCCUAAUAUAGUUUACGUGCUCGCAAUUCUUUUGCAGAAUUAUGCUAUUUUUUGCCAAGUUUAAUCAAGAG
rnacentral:misc_RNA from 1 species